UCCGAGUUGACCCCGGCAGUCUCCCAUGAGUCCCCACCAUUACGUGCUGGCAACAUAGAACAAGGGUUGCGCUCGUUGCGGGACUUAACCCAACAUCUCACGAAACGAGCUGACGACAGCCAUGCACCACCUGUGCUAAGCCCCGAAGGACACCGCAUCUCUACGGCUUUUCCUGGCAUGUCAAACCCAGGUAAGGUUCUUCGCGUUGCCUCGAAUUAAUCCGCAUGCUCCGCCGCUUGUGCGGGCCCCCGUCAAUUCCUUUGAGUUUUAGCCUUGCGGCCGUACUCCCCAGGCGGGGCGCUUAAUGCGUUAGCUACGGCACGGAACCCAUGGAAUAGGUCCCACACCUAGCGCCCAACGUUUACGGUGUGGACUAC
rnacentral:misc_RNA from 1 species